UUACGAAUCUCAUUACUUCCCUUGGUUAAACAUUUAAGACAAUCCUCCUUUGUUAAGUCAGGAGUACAUUGCACAUCCGCGUAAAGAGCGUGUUCAUCCCCGUCAUAAUGUAUAGUGUCUGACGCAUAUUUCCGAAGAGCAUCACCUCCAGCCGCUUUCACCUUUAGCUUAUUUAUCAUACUAUCCAUGGUCUUUGCUAAAUUAGCAGUACUGACAGAUAAACCGCUCCCCAAACGUUUCCAGGCCCAAUCAUCCAGCACUGAGAAUAUUUUGCGACCAGUUGAGUAACGCACCAUACAUUGUAAAUAUGGGUAGAAAUCCCAAGCUACACAUUCCUGUUGUUGGCAGUUCUUUUGAAUAUACUGAACAACGUUCCUAAGACAACACUCACAAAGUCCUUUUACGACAUUAAGGGCACAAAAGAAGCUGGCGCUAACUUGCUCUUCAGGUUUGCCGGCCGAUUGGGUAUGAGUUUUGAAGGUUUGCCGGCCGAUUGGGUAUGGUAAAAACCAUUGUAGCUAGAAUUAUUCUUAAUUAACAACAAGAGUUUAUCCAACGCGGAAUCUCGGUUUUUUUGGAUGGUGUUGCUUCUGAAAUCUCCACCUCUAGAUACAUGCCAAUCUCCA
rnacentral:lncRNA from 1 species